GGCCGCAAGGUUAAAACUCAAAUGAAUUGACGGGGGCCCGCACAAGCGGUGGAGCAUGUGGUUUAAUUCGAUGCAACGCGAAGAACCUUACCUGGUCUUGACAUCCACGGAAGUUUUCAGAGAUGAGAAUGUGCCUUCGGGAACCGUGAGACAGGUGCUGCAUGGCUGUCGUCAGCUCGUGUUGUGAAAUGUUGGGUUAAGUCCCGCAACGAGCGCAACCCUUAUCCUUUGUUGCCAGCGGUCCGGCCGGGAACUCAAAGGAGACUGCCAGUGAUAAACUGGAGGAAGGUGGGGAUGACGUCAAGUCAUCAUGGCCCUUACGACCAGGGCUACACACGUGCUACAAUGGCGCAUACAAAGAGAAGCGACCUCGCGAGAGCAAGCGGACCUCAUAAAGUGCGUCGUAGUCCGGAUUGGAGUCUGCAACUCGACUCCAUGAAGUCGGAAUCGCUAGUAAUCGUGGAUCAGAAUGCCACGGUGAAUACGUUCCCGGGCCUUGUACACACCGCCCGUCACACCAUGGGAGUGGGUUGCAAAAGAAGUAGGUAGCUUAACCUUCGGGAGGGCGCUUACCACUUUGUGAUUCAUGACUGGGGUGAAGUCGUAACAAGGUAACCGUAGGGGAACCUGCGGUUGGAUCAC
rnacentral:rRNA from 2 species